AUUGAACGCUGGCGGCAGGCCUAACACAUGCAAGUCGAGCGGAUGAAGGGAGCUUGCUCCUGGAUUCAGCGGCGGACGGGUGAGUAAUGCCUAGGAAUCUGCCUGGUAGUGGGGGAUAACGUCCGGAAACGGGCGCUAAUACCGCAUACGUCCUAAGGGAGAAAGUGGGGGAUCUUCGGACCUCACGCUAUCAGAUGAGCCUAAGUCGGAUUAGCUAGUUGGUGGGGUAAAGGCCUACCAAGGCGACGAUCCGUAACUGGUCUGAGAGGAUGAUCAGUCACACUGGAACUGAGACACGGUCCAGACUCCUACGGGAGGCAGCAGUGGGGAAUAUUGGACAAUGGGCGAAAGCCUGAUCCAGCCAUGCCGCGUGUGUGAAGAAGGUCUUCGGAUUGUAAAGCACUUUAAGUUGGGAGGAAGGGCAGUAAGUUAAUACCUUGCUGUUUUGACGUUACCAACAGAAUAAGCACCGGCUAACUUCGUG
rnacentral:rRNA from 1 species